rnacentral:lncRNA from 1 species
CUAAGUCCAUUUUAAAUUGUCACUUUGAUCCAAAAUCAUUUCUUUGACUUGAGGUCAUCAUGGUUGACUUGGUCAACUUCCAAAUUUGACCUUGUUUGACCAUGCUUUCAUGUUCUUUUGCCUUUCUCUUUUUUCUUUAUAUUUCUCCUCUUUAGUGCUUAAGUGAGGUUUAAUUCUUUGUAAACACCAUUGGUGUUACAUUAAGUUCUUAUACAAGCAAUUUUGCUUGUUUUUUGUUAUGUACACUAGUAGCGCACAUGCAUGACACGUUCCACGGGGUUGUGACUCACGAAGUGCAAGAACACUUCAUUCUAAGGUUAAUCAGUUCGAUUGCAAACUAAACAAGCCUAAAAAAGGGCCUACACUGCCCCCACUCAAAAUAAGUUCCGCGAAACAUUCAUCACGUUUGCUCACCUCCGAUCCGUUCUUCUCCUUCAAAAUCAUAAAAUAAAUUACACAUGAAAUUAUACGAG